AACGAACGUUAGCGGCGCGCUUAACACAUGCAAGUCGAACGAGAAAGGGCUUCGGCCCCGGUACAGUGGCGCACGGGUGAGUAACACGUGGGUAAUCUACCCUUGAGCGGGGGAUAACGUUCCGAAAGGAGCGCUAAUACCGCAUAAGACCACGCUCUCGAAAGGGAGCGAGGUAAAAGUAGGCCUCUGAAUUCACGCUUACACUCGAGGAUGAGCCCGCGGCCCAUCAUGGUAGUUGGUAGGGUAAUGGCCUACCAAGCCGAAGACGGGUAGCUGGUCUUAGAGGAUGAUCAGCCACACUGGAACUGAGACACGGUCCAGACUCCUACGGGAGGCAGCAGUGGGGAAUCUUGCGCAAUGGGCGAAAGCCUGACGCAGCGACGCCGCGUGGGUGAUGAAGGCCUCGGUCGGUAAGAC
rnacentral:rRNA from 1 species